GGCUCCAUAGUACAAUGGUUAGCAUGUCUGCUUUGCAAGCAGAAGUUCCUGGGUUUGCGCCCCACGUAGAGCCA
rnacentral:tRNA from 1 species